rnacentral:rRNA from 1 species
UGGGGAAUAUUGCACAAUGGGCGCAAGCCUGAUGCAGCAAUGCCGCGUGAGUGAAGACGGCCUUAGGGUUGUAAAACUCUUUCGCUAGGGAAGAUAAUGACGGUACCUAGUAAAGAAGUCCCGGCUAACUCCGUGCCAGCAGCCGCGGUAAUACGGAGGGGACUAGCGUUGUUCGGAAUUACUGGGCGUAAAGAGUUCGUAGGCGGACUAGCAAGUUAGAGGUGAAAUCCCAGGGCUCAACCUUGGAACUGCCUUUAAAACUGCUAGUCUAGAGACCGGAAGAGGUUAGGGGAAUACCUAGUGUAGAGGUGAAAUUCGUAGAUAUUGGGAAGAACACCAGUGGCGAAGGCGGCUAUCUGGACCGAUACUGACGCUGAGGCGCGAAAGCGUGGGGAGCAAACAGGAUUAGAUACCCUGGUAGUCCACGCCGUAAACGAUGUCUGCUAGUCGUUGGGGGGCCGUAGCCCUUCAGUGGACGCCGCUAACGCAUUAAGCAGACCGCCUGGGGAGUACGGCCGCAAGGUUAAAACUC